rnacentral:rRNA from 1 species
GACGAACGCUGGCGGCGUGCUUAACACAUGCAAGUCGAACGGAAAGGCCUGCUUUCCCUUGUGGAUUGCGGGUACUCGAGUGGCGAACGGGUGAGUAACACGUGAGUGAUCUGCCCCCAACUUGGGUAUAAGCCUGGGAAACUGGGUCUAAUUCCCGAUAGGACUGCAGGGUGGUGCCUGUGGUGGAAAACGAUUUUCUAGUGGUUGGGGAUGAGCUCGCGGCCUAUCAGCUUGUUGGUGAGGUAAUGGCCUACCAAGGCGGCGACGGGUAGCCGGCCUGAGAGGGUGGACGGCCACAUUGGGACUGAGAUACGGCCCAGACUCCUACGGGAGGCAGCAGUGGGGAAUAUUGCACAAUGGGCGGAAGCCUGAUGCAGCGACGCCGCGUGGGGGAUGACGGCCUUCGGGUUGUAAACUCCUUUCGACCGCGAGGAAGCCACCUGGUUGGAAGGGUGGUGACGGUAGUGGUAGAAGAAGCACCGGCUAACUACGUG